GGCAGUGUGGCCAAGUGGGAAGAGCACGGGACUGGGUUCCAGGAAACCUGGGUUCCAGUCCCAGUUCUACCA
rnacentral:tRNA from 1 species